rnacentral:rRNA from 1 species
AUUGAACGCUAGCGGGAUGCCUUACACAUGCAAGUCGAACGGGUGGCGGACGGGUGAGCAAUAUAUCGGCACGUGCCCAGUAGAUGGGGACACCCACUCGAAAGAGUGGCUACAUCCGCACUCUAUUGGCGCGGUCGAUUUCGGAUUAGCUAGGUGGUGGGGCAAAGGCUCACCAAGGCGACGAUCCGUAGCUGGUUUGAGAGGACGACCAGCCACACUGGGACUGAGACACGGCCCAGACUCCGACGGGAGGCAGCAGUGGGGAAUUUUGGACAAUGGGGGAAACCCUGAUCCAGCCAUCCCGCGUGUAUGAGAAGGCCUUCGGGUUGUAAAGCACUUUUGGCAGAGAAGCGGUAUCUGCAGAAUAAGCACCGGCUAACUACGUGCCAGCAGCCGCGGUAAUAC